CCGGGGAAGCAAUGGCUGCUUCCGACGCUGCCCCCGGCUUUGCCGUCUGUCCUCCGAGGUGAGGGCGUUGGGAGCUCCGUGAGGCCCUUUCUUCUUACGAGACUCAGGUUCCGCUGACUUAGAUCGUGUUCGCAAAUCUCUGCGCCUGGGCGUGAGGCCAGAUUCCUGCGCCCCACUCCUCUGGUCCCCGGAGAAGUAACAAGAACGCCGAGGACAGACCCGAUGUUUAUUUGUAGUCUCACAAUCAGACCCAGAGAGAGAGAGAGAGAGGCAGAGACACAGAGGAAGAAGCAGGCUCCAUGCUUGAGCCCGACGCGGGAUUCGAUUCCAGGACCCCGGGGUCACGCCCUGGGCUGAAGGCAGAUGCUCAACCGCUGAGCCACCCGGGCUGCCCAAAGUGGAUUUUAUUCACCUAGAGGCUUUUGAGAGUUUGUGAUCCCUUCGACCGAAGGGCCCCAGCCUUCAACGAUUUUCAGAUAUAUCUGAACUUCUGCUUAUGCAGAAUUGCCCGCCCCCUGGAUCCAACUAGAAAACUGGGCAUGACAUUUGAAGUGACUGUUUUCAGACGUGGGACAACAUGCAAUAGAGAAUUGUGAUUCCUGAGAGGAGAGAACAAGUAAGGGAAGUCCUACAAUGGCUCCAGCCUACUGCCUGGAGGGCAGAACAGGAAGGGAAUUUAAAGAAAGACCAACAGUUUCACUGGAGACAGAGAAGGAACUGAGGGAAGCCAAUGAGAAGACAUCGGAGAGGGGGAAGUGGCACAGAGAAAGAUCUGUCUACCCAGGUGUAUCUUUCCCCUUGUCCUUUGGCUGAGUAUUGAUCUGUGCAAUGGAAGACUGAAACUCCAUGAGAGCUGGCACCAAAAAGCAGUAGGCCAAACAGUUUCUUUUCUUUUUUUUUUUUUUUAAGAUUUUAAAAAUUUAUUCAUGAAAGACACAGAGAGAGGUAGAGACAGGAGAAGCGGGCUCCAUGCAAGGAGCCCAAUAAGGGAUUGGAUCCCUGGACUCCGGGAUCACGCCCUGAGCCCAAGGCAGAUGCUCAACUGCUGGGCCACCCACUCUUCCCAAGCCAAGCAAUUUCUGAUGCUUACACAGGACUAGGAAUAGUUUGUGUUCCCAUCAGCCAGAGUACAGAGACUUUGUAAUACACAUAUUGUUUCUACCAAUCAAAAUAAA